GGCACAAAGCCUUGCUCAUAAGGGUUGCUAAGUGAUGCCUCAAACGACAGCCAUGGCUGGGGAGAGGCGACAGCCCGAGGGCAGGUCGGGCUCCCAAAUUGUUUUAUGGCUAAAGGAGGUUUUGGAGUUUUCUUUGCAAACACAAAUAGAAUUUAUCUGUAUUCUUAAGUCCCAUAAGGAAAAUAAACCCCAAGAUCUCCCACUAACUUUUUGAGGAAGUUUCUUUCUGAUGGAAAUAGUUUGGUAUCCAAAAUACACAAGGCUCGGCGGCUCGGGGGAGGUCGUGGCAGGCAGCUGCGCUGGUCCUGUUACUCAGUGCUCUGGGAGGGGGUUGCUGGAAGUCUGGAGGAGGUUUCAUGAUGGAAGAUUGGGCUAAAUAAAGGUCUUCCACCUCCAUAAUUCCGGCAGCUGCAUUUCAGCACAGGAUCCAGUCACAGUGUGACACGGCGUCUCGGAUGGAGGAGGGAGCCUCGAACCUCGCUGUGCUUGGGGGCAGCCAAAGUGAUUAAUGGAGCAGCCUCUGCUCAGCUGAAUUUGCAGCAGGAGAAAUGCCCAAGCCACAUCUGGCUCGUGAUGCACAUGGGAUCAGACUGGGAGUUUGGGAGGAGGUGGAUCUGGAUUCAGAGAUCUGAAAGGCGAGGCAGAGACAUCUGAUGGGGCUCCAGCACUGACUCACUGUUUGAUGUGAGGCAGGAGGAGGGAUGUGAUCAGAUCCCAUUGUGCACAGCAUCCACCAGACAACGCCAGCAGCGGGAGGAGGGAUUCCUCAUCCUCCCUGCCCUCCAAACCCUGCUGUCACCCCUGGCUGUCCCCUGCCCCCCCUGCAGGAUGUCACCUCUGAAAU